CUGCAGAUGAUGUUAAAAGUUACAUCGACUGAGAUCUUUUUUGGGUCUCUGAUGUCUAAAAAAUCGAGCUUUUUAAAACUGAUGCUUA